GAUGAACGCUGGCGGCGUGCCUAAUACAUGCAAGUCGAGCGAACAGACGAGGAGCUUGCUCCUCUGACGUUAGCGGCGGACGGGUGAGUAACACGUGGAUAACCUACCUAUAAGACUGGGAUAACUUCGGGAAACCGGAGCUAAUACCGUAUAAUCUAUUGAACCGCAUGGUUCAAUAGUGAAAGACGGUUUUGCUGUCACUUAUAGAUGGAUCCGCGCCGCAUUAGCUAGUUGGUAAGGUAACGGCUUACCAAGGCAACGAGGCGUAGCCGACCGGAGCGGGUGAUCGGCCACACUGGAACUGAGCCACGGUCCAGACUCCUACGGGAGGCAGCAGUAGGGAAUCGUCCGCAAUGGGCGAAAGCCUGACGGAGCAACGCCGCGUGAGUGAUGAAGGUCUUGGGAUCGUAAAACUCUGUUAUGGGGGAAGAACAGAUGUGUAAGUAACUAUGCACGUCUUGACGGUACCUAAUCAGAAAGCCACGGCUAACUACGUG
rnacentral:rRNA from 1 species